UACGUAGGGGGCAAGCGUUGUCCGGAUUUAUUGGGCGUAAAGAGCGUGUAGGCGGUUUGGUAGGUCCGCUGUGAAAACUCGAGGCUUAACCUCGAGAUGUCAUCGGAAACCAUUUGGCUAGAGUCCGGAAGAGGAAAGUGGAAUUCCUGGUGUAGCGGUGAAAUGCGCAGAUAUCAGGAAGAACACCAAUGGCGAAAGCAGCUUUCUGGGACGGUACUGACGCUGAGACGCGAAAGCGUGGGGAGCGAACAGG
rnacentral:rRNA from 1 species